rnacentral:lncRNA from 1 species
GAGGAGAGGGUGUCGGCCGAUCAUUGCAGCUCCAACACAUAUAACCAGUGAUGGUAUCCUCAAUGGACAUGUGGAUCCCAACAAUGCACGUGGAAGGGCAAGAAAUAUGUACGUCUAGAAUAAGUGUAUUACAAGGAAAAGGAUUGUUAUUGGAGUAAUUAUGAAGGAAAAAAUACUAUGAAAAUUAGGAUUUGGAUCUCAUAUUUUAGUAAGAUGUGAUGAAUGUUUU